rnacentral:lncRNA from 1 species
CGCCCAUCAUCUGAGAUGUGGGGAGCACCUCUGCCCCGCCGCCCCGUCUGGGAUGUGAGGAGCGCCUCUACCCGGCCGCAACCCCGUCUGGGAGGUAUGGACUAACAACACUCUAUGUGGCCUAAAAACCAACCAAAUCAAGUUUCUAUCAAGGCAGAAGAGGCAGGACAGCCAAGGAAUUGAGCAUAAAGGACACUCUACUGUGAGAGCUAGCCUUGAUUUGACAUGUGUCAGGAAACAUACGACCUCAAACAAUCUUCAUACACAAUGAAGAGAUAUAAGAAGAUUUGGUAAUCCAGGAAGUCUCGAAAGUUCUUCAGAAAUGUUUAACCUAUUUCAAAAAUUUUCAUUACUCUGCGCACACUAUUCCUCAUUACAGAAAGUGCUCAAUAAACUUCUGUAUGCUCCUAUUACUA